rnacentral:lncRNA from 1 species
CCGGAUAACCUGCGUGAUCAGCAAUGCCUCGAACCCACUUCUCAAGAAGGAGAUAAGAAAAAGGCCUCAAAUCCAAUCAAUCCUUCAGGUCCUAUCAAACGCGAUAGAGGUUUGCACCUAUUUGCAUGAGUACAGGAAUCUAAAAUACACACUAACAUAUCAUGAGUCCAAGCAUUAAAUACUAGGAGAAGUGUUCGCAACAUUCAUGGAGUUACACAACGAUGCACAAGUAAUGGUACAUCAACAUCAGAACUGCAUGUUUUAUUUUAGACAGAAUGCGUUAAGCUCCAAAUGCAAGAUAGAUAGAAGGCAUUCUGGUAUUACGUUUUUUUGCUUUGUUUCUACAUGGUUACUGGCAGCAGCAGCAGAGGCAGUCUAGGCAGCACUCGCAGGUCUCGAAGCAGCAGAAGCAGCAGCACAGGGCGAACAAGCUGCAAAAGGAAUUAGAUGUGUAGCAUGAUUAAAUCAAUAAGCCAAAUACAUGAAAUUUGGAAACCAGGAAGGAAUAAAAUAUGACAUGAUAACGAAAUAUGGCAUGCACUUUAUAGACAUUGUUAUAAGUUAGAUUAUUUUUGACUACCAUCAAUUGUUUUUUGUUUUGAAUUCUGUUUGGUAAUCUUGACAAACUUCAAAAUUUGUGUUAAUUAGCUGAAAGCGGAUUUAUGUGGACUUCGAAAUUUUGUCAUACAGUAUUUUUCUCCGACAUUACUUUUUUUUAAUUUAUUUUUAAAGAACAUUUUGCCUGUCAUGUCAGAUAUUAUUUUUCUAGACGUAUGCUAUUUCCUCAAACAAUUUAGCUGAGUUAGUGGUUACGUCGAUGAAGCGUUAUAUGGAUGUUCUCUAGACCAAAUAACUGGCUAUUCUCUUAUCAGCCAUAUGAUUCUCCUAAUCUUGGUCCAACUUUUGACCACAAGAUGAACCGCAUCACCAUAGAAUCAGUGAGAUAAGUCACAGGGGCACCGAAAUCACAACCGCCUAUAUUGUCCGGGUUUGAUACGUUUUGACUUAGAAUACCACAUUGCAUUAGUUACUGUAACGAGUGGGAAACCACCCAACCUCACGCGGAUUUCCGCUACUCUCAUUAAUUUGUCUCACGGCAAUCUAGUUCUGAGUUCUGACAUCUUAACUGUGACCACGUAGAGCCAAUAAAAAUCCUGGUAGCUGCAGCCAUGAAGACUACAAGAUAUUAAAACCUACCCCAACUACUCAAACUUGAAGGUGGGGCCUUACCAAAUGGAUGAGGUACGCUGGGAUUAUGGUGUCCAGGUGAGUGCCUUGCGUAGAAGGUAAAAUCGAAUGCCAUAAUUACAGAUAAAUGCAUGAUUAGCCCAAAAGUUGGAAGAAAUAAGAAGCAAUAUAAACCAAAUCUCACUUAUUUUAUUCUUGCUUUCAAAUAACAACAAUAUUUGCUUAUUUUAUUAUCCUUGAGGAUGGUUUAUUUGAUAUGAUUAUACAGGGCGUCAUUACUGCAGGAAACUAAGAAAGAGACGAGGAAAAAAGAACGUUUUAGAUUGACCUUCGGGUUUUUUUUCCCCUCUUCCUAUUUAAGAUAUUCUUAUGUUGUGUCAUAUUUCCGCCAAGACGACCCUAACCAAUCUCCACCCUCUGAUCGAUGUAACAAUACAUGCCUAUCCGCUAGACGGACGGCAGAUCUUCACCAUACACCAUGUCAAGGUGUGGAAUUGAUUCCUAGCAAUUACAUAAUAUUUUUUUUGAAAAAAAGGACAUCCGAUGAUCAUCGGACGGUGGCCGCCGCCCAAGAUAGAACUAAAAUCGAAAAAGCGAGAGAGAGAGAGAGAGAUACAAGGCAUAGAUGCAGCCCUUCNNN